GACGAACGCUGGCGGCGUGCUUAACACAUGCAAGUCGAACGGAAAGGCCCUGCUUUUGUGGGGUGCUCGAGUGGCGAACGGGUGAGUAACACGUGAGUAACAUGCCCUUGACUUUGGGAUAACUUCAGGAAACUGGGGCUAAUACCGGAUAGGAGCUCCUGCUGCAUGGUGGGGGUUGGAAAGUUUCGGCGGUUGGGGAUGGACUCGCGGCUUAUCAGCUUGUUGGUGGGGUAGUGGCUUACCAAGGCUUUGACGGGUAGCCGGCCUGAGAGGGUGACCGGCCACAUUGGGACUGAGAUACGGCCCAGACUCCUACGGGAGGCAGCAGUGGGGAAUAUUGCACAAUGGGCGGAAGCCUGAUGCAGCAACGCCGCGUGCGGGAUGACGGCCUUCGGGUUGUAAACCGCUUUCGCCGGUGACGAAGCGUGAGUGACGGUAAUGGGUAAAGAAGCACCGGCUAACUACGUG
rnacentral:rRNA from 1 species